AACUGCAACAAAGCAGGAAAAAAUAAAAUCUGUUGUGUUUUUAAAAAAACAAAUACUUCUCUAGAACAGGAUACUUAAAAUACACUCUAAUGGAUCAGCCUGUUCCAACUACCAACCUAGCGGUCGCUGGUUUGGCACACGGGAUUUUUUAAAAUAUUGUGGCAUUACUGAACUGUAUUGUUUGUGAUUCUGUAUCACAAACCAAGUUUCUAUAUCCUCCAGCACAUUUCUGUUCCAGCUCUGUAGCUGAAAGAACCACAUAACUCUCAGAGGUCGUGUAAGUAUGAAAGUCCUUACUUCAAAUAAUACACAAGUGGGAUUUUCUGGGGGGAGGGCUGGGGGAGUGUCGUUGUAGCUUCCACACAAAAUAAUGAAAAUAGGCUCCAUUAAUAACAGAAGCAGCACAGUCAACGUGUGGCUGUCAGAAAUUAGCACCAGAAGAGACAUGGAUUAAGAGUAAGAAAUUAAGUUACCCUCUAGUGGUGAAGUGUGAGAGUGCAAACAGCAAUUCUAACUUUUGAAGCAGAACCCAAAUGUAGCACUGUUCGGAUUAAACACUUCAUUAAACACUGUGGUCCCCGCUAAAAUGGAUAAUAAAAUGCUAAAAAAAUGCUCAGAGAAAUAAAUCUGUGUCUGUUUCCGUGGGCUUUGGUGAAAAUUUCAUCUGGACUCAACAUGUGCAUUUUAGAAUGUGGAAUUUCAUGAAAAAUUCUGAAACAUUAGGAAAGGUAAUUUACUUUUGCCUGAUUUUUCACACUAGUCAUAUAAAUGUAUAUAAAUAUAAAUAUAAAUAUAAAUAUAAAUAUAAAUAUAAAUAUAAAUAUAAAUAUAAAUAUAAGUCCUUUACACAGCUUUGAAGGCUCUCAAAUUGAAAUUAAUAACAAAAGAUAAAUGGCUCACAUUUAUGCUUACAACAUCAGGGUUAAUAAUCUGCAGGGACAGUAUGCUUAAAUGCAACCUGAAAUAAGUGAUUAAAUAGCUGCGCUGGAAAAUCUGGAGUACUGAGAAAUUCUCUAAUGCUGAAGCAUUUCUAUUCCAAUAGAUCACUGUUGAAGUUUGAACCACAGAAGGGAAAAUACUCAAAGAAUGGGAGAAGAAUGACAGGACAUUUCGAGAGAAAAGCACACUUUGCAGCCUAACUUGAACCACGGUUGAUGUCUCUUUUCAUUGCCUGAGAAGUCUACAAUAGCACUGAACUGGGGUAAGUAAAGGCAGACUUUCCAUUUUAAAGUACAAGAUUCUCCUCCCUUAUAAGCACCCCCAGUUAUACACACGCUCUCACCUGCACCGUCCUUGCCACCCAAAGAGAUCAGAAACAAAAAAUCUACAACACAACUCCCUCUGCAGAUCUCAGACACCGCUUGUCCUCACCUGCAGCUUCCUGGCGCUCUGCUCUUGGCUGAGCUGCUUUUCAAUGACCUGCUGGUACAGCUUAGCUCUCAGUGUCCGCAGAGCUAUUUCCUUGUUCAUCUGCUGCGACCGCUCCUGCUGGCACUCAACUGACAGUCCUUUACAGAGGCAUCCAAGAGCCCAUUAUAACAAAGAACAAACAAGCUGAAUUAAUUCUAACACAUUAGGCAAAUGAAACCUACUGGAGUGCUGGUUUGUAGGGCUUUUCAGCUGUAGGAUAAAAAGUCAUUUUAACACACUGGCCAGAACCACUAGUGAGUUUUAAAACUUGUCACAGAUGCACCAGGGAGCUUUGUUCCGUGCUACAGAAAAGUCAGGGAUAUUUUAAAAUUUCAUGAAGCAAACAAGUUUCUAACAUUGCCUCUAGAAAUUGGGUUCACUCCAAUUAGCUGUUGUAUGUUAAAAAUUCAAUUUGAACAGUCUACAAGAGCAUGUUUAAAAGAGUGUAACACAAGUUUUUAAAAUCUUAGUCCAGAUAAGCUCUUGGAAACUGGAAAAUUCAUUAUUCUAGGAGAAAGGGGUGCCAAAUCAACACUGGUGAGUCUUGAACUUAUUUAUGAAAAAUGAGAUAAAACCAAAUAAAGGUCUUUAAAAGAAA